rnacentral:rRNA from 1 species
AGUGGCGAACGGGUGAGUAAAGUAUCGGAACGUGCCCCGUCGUGGGGGAUAACGUAGCGAAUGUUACGCUAAUACCGCAUACGAUCUAUGGAUGAAAGCGGGGGAUCGCAAGACCUCGCGCGAUUGGAGCGGCCGAUAUCAAAUUAGGUAGUUGGUGGGGUAAAGGCUCACCAAGCCGACGAUCUGUAGCUGGUCUGAGAGGACCACCAUCCACACUGGGACUGAGACACGGCCCAUACUCCUACGGGAGGCAGCAGUGGGGAAUUUUGGACAAUGGGCGCAAGCCUGAUCCAGCCAUGCCGCGUGCAGGAUGAAGGCCUUCGGGUUGUAAACUGCUUUUGUACGGAACGAAGAGGUUUGGCCUAAUAAGCUGAUCUCAUGACGGUACCGUAAGAAUAAGCACCGGCUAACUACGUGCCAGCAGCCGCGGUAAUACGUAGGGUGCGAGCGUUAAUCGGAAUUACUGGGCGUACAGCGUGCGCAGGCGGUUAUGUAAGACAGAUGUGAAAUCCCCGGGCUCAGCCUGCGAACUGCAUUAGUGACUGCAUAGCUGGAGUACGGCAGAGGGGGAUGGAAUUCCGCGUGUAGCAGUGAAAUGCGUAGAUAUGCGGGAGGAACACCGAUGGCGAAUGCUCUCCCCCUGCGCCUGUACUGACGCUCAUGCACGAAAGCGUGGG